AAAGAAAGUAGAUGGAUUUGAAAGUGAAAACUUAUACUUGUAAGUUUUACAUUAAACUGAUGACUAGGUACCAUAUGCAUGUUCCUAUAGUUUGUGAUAACAUGUAUUUGAAAAGAUUAUGAAAAAUUUGGUAUCUGAUUGUCAUCUGGAAGAAUUUUAACAGAAAGAUAUUCUUUAGAAAAAAAUACUAAAUGUAUAUGCAGCUUUUUCUGUCUCAAGAAACAGUAUAAUUUUAUUAUUGUAUACAAUGGAGAUAUACUAGAGGAGUUUUUUUGUAGCAUUAUUUACGAUGUAAACAAUAAUAAAAAAAUAAUGUUAAAAGCGAAUAAACAAUCUUUUAAAAUACAAGCAAUAUAUGAAAAAGUUUGUAGCAGUUUUAUUGGUUCAUAAAUAAUAAUUUAUAAUUGUUCUUUGAUAGGUAAAAAAUUCACAGAGUAUCAUAUAUCUAGU
rnacentral:lncRNA from 1 species